rnacentral:rRNA from 2 species
UGGGCUGGCGGCGUGCUAUACAUGCAAGUCGAGCGAACUGAUUAGAAGCUUGCUUCUAUGACGUUAGCGGCGGACGGGUGAGUAACACGUGGGCAACCUGCCUGUAAGACUGGGAUAACUUCGGGAAACCGAAGCUAAUACCGGAUAGGAUCUUCUCCUUCAUGGGAGAUGAUUGAAAGAUGGUUUCGGCUAUCACUUACAGAUGGGCCCGCGGUGCAUUAGCUAGUUGGUGAGGUAACGGCUCACCAAGGCAACGAUGCAUAGCCGACCUGAGAGGGUGAUCGGCCACACUGGGACUGAGACACGGCCCAGACUCCUACGGGAGGCAGCAGUAGGGAAUCUUCCGCAAUGGACGAAAGUCUGACGGAGCAACGCCGCGUGAGUGAUGAAGGCUUUCGGGUCGUAAAACUCUGUUGUUAGGGAAGAACAAGUACGAGAGUAACUGCUCGUACCUUGACGGUACCUAACCAGAAAGCCACGGCUAACUACGUGCCAGCAGCCGCGGUAAUACGUAGGUGGCAAGCGUUAUCCGGAAUUAUUGGGCGUAAAGCGCGCGCAGGCGGUUUCUUAAGUCUGAUGUGAAAGCCCACGGCUCAACCGUGGAGGGUCAUUGGAAACUGGGGAACUUGAGUGCAGAAGAGAAAAGCGGAAUUCCACGUGUAGCGGUGAAAUGCGUAGAGAUGUGGAGGAACACCAGUGGCGAAGGCGGCUUUUUGGUCUGUAACUGACGCUGAGGCGCGAAAGCGUGGGGAGCAAACA